AGCGAACGCUGGCGGCAGGCUUAACACAUGCAAGUCGAGCGGGCCCUUCGGGGUCAGCGGCGGACGGGUGAGUAACGCGUGGGAACGUGCCUUCUGGUUCGGAAUAACUCAGGGAAACUUGAGCUAAUACCGGAUACGCCCUUUUGGGGAGAGGUUUACUGCCGGAAGAUCGGCCCGCGUCUGAUUAGCUAGUUGGUGGGGUAACGGCCUACCAAGGCGACGAUCAGUAGCUGGUCUGAGAGGAUGAUCAGCCACACUGGGACUGAGACACGGCCCAGACUCCUACGGGAGGCAGCAGUGGGGAAUAUUGGACAAUGGGCGCAAGCCUGAUCCAGCCAUGCCGCGUGAGUGAUGAAGGCCUUAGGGUUGUAAAGCUCUUUUAUCCGGGACGAUAAUGACGGUACCGGAGGAAUAAGCCCCGGCUAACUUCGUGCCAGCCGCCGCGGUAA
rnacentral:rRNA from 1 species